CCUACGGGAGGCAGCAGUAGGGAAUCUUGGGCAAUGGGCGAAAGCCUGACCCAGCCAUGCCGCGUGAAUGAUGAAGGUCUUAGGAUUGUAAAAUUCUUUCACCGGGGACGAUAAUGACGGUACCCGGAGAAGAAGCCCCGGCUAACUUCGUGCCAGCAGCCGCGGUAAUACGAAGGGGGCUAGCGUUGCUCGGAAUUACUGGGCGUAAAGGGCGCGUAGGCGGAUCGUUAAGUCAGAGGUGAAAGCCCAGGGCUCAACCUUGGAACUGCCUUUGAUACUGGCGAUCUGGAGUACGGGAGAGGUGUGUGGAACUCCGAGUGUAGAGGUGAAAUUCGUAGAUAUUCGGAAGAACACCAGUGGCGAAGGCGACACACUGGCCCGUUACUGACGCUGAGGCGCGAAAGCGUGGGGAGCAGACAGGAUUAGAUACCCUGGUAGUCCACGCCGUAAACGAUGAGUGCUAGUUGUCGGCAUGCAUGCAUGUCGGUGACGCAGCUAACGCAUUAAGCACUCCGCCUGGGGAGUACGGUCGCAAGAUUAAAACUCAAAGGAAUUGACGG
rnacentral:rRNA from 1 species